UACAGAGGUCUCAAGCGUUGUUCGGAUUCAUUGGGCGUAAAGGGUGCGUAGGCGGUGCGGUAAGUCGGGUGUGAAAUCUCGGGGCUUAACUCCGAAACUGCAUUCGAUACUACCGUGCUUGAGGACUGGAGAGGAGACUGGAAUUUACGGUGUAGCGGUGAAAUGCGUAGAUAUCGUAAGGAAGACCAGUGGCGAAGGCGGGUCUCUGGACAGUUACUGACGCUGAGGCACGAAGGCCAGGGGAGCAAACGGG
rnacentral:rRNA from 1 species